rnacentral:piRNA from 1 species
GCAAAUGUAUACAAAGUCAGGUGUGAUGG